UGUAAAUAGCAGCACACAAGCGGUUCGAUGUAAAAUGAUUCUAUCAAUCUUGACAUAGUAAAUUAGUACGGAUGAAAUAAAUAAGCUCACUCUGCUAGCGGACAGUCACUUAUAGCUGACCGAUACUGCGUAUUGAUUCGAUUAAUAAACAAACCGGGGCAGUCAGGCGUGAAAAAUUACUGGGAAUUCCCCGGCUAGGCGCGAAUUGAUUCUGCUGUUCCUGCGUAUCAUCGAGACUUUUCGAAAAGUUCGCUGAUAAGCGCCGAUCACUCAGUAGCCGUUUCGAUCUCGCACUUGCAGCAUCUGAAGCGCAGAGUUCGCUGUUUCUACAUUUUGAAAAAUAAAAUGAAAUUUUUGGUUUUGAUCUGUUUGCUGAUUUCAUUGGGCUUGGCGUUACCAGUGGAGGAAUGGAGCACUGACACAACCACUUACAAGCACCAGCUGGCAGUGAAUGCCUAUACGUACUCACCGUUUGCUCCUAAAACUACUCCUACAACAACUACAACUACUACAACCACGACGCUGCCUCCACCGGUGACAACCAAAAAGCCUUGGUAUAAGUUCUGGAAAUAAAUCUGAUAAUCAAAAAAUGGAUUGCCGAGAAGCAAAAAAAUAUUACACAAAAAAGUAUUCAGCACAUUUAGUUUAUUGUAAUGAGAAUGAAGUCUUCUUUAAGAAUGGUAGAGGAGAUCAUUGCUUUCUAGAAAUUCUCAAUGGUCCUUUACAUUAAGGCUAUGUGAUGUAGUAGCAAAUGUUUCGCGAUUCAGUAAAUAUAAUUUAAAGCACUCACAAUAAACAACUCAGAAAUGCCUUUUUAAGCGUAAAUAUAAAAUUCUAAUUCUA